GAUGAACGCUGGCGGCGUGCCUAAUACAUGCAAGUCGAGCGAACAGACGAGGAGCUUGCUCCUCUGACGUUAGCGGCGGACGGGUGAGUAACACGUGGAUAACCUACCUAUAAGACUGGGAUAACUUCGGGAAACCGGAGCUAAUACCGGAUAAUAUAUUGAACCGCAUGGUUCAAUAGUGAAAGACGGUUUUGCUGUCACUUAUAGAUGGAUCCGCGCCGCAUUAGCUAGUUGGUAAGGUAACGGCUUACCAAGGCAACGAUGCGUAGCCGACCUGAGAGGGGUGGUCGGCCAACCGGGAACGAGAACCCGGUCCAGCCUCCAAGGGGGGGCAGCAGGAGGGAAUCUUCCGCAAUGGGCGAAGGCCGGACGGGGCAACGCCGGGGGGGGGAAGAGGGCUUUGGGUUCGAAAAACUCUGUUAUUGGGAAAGAAAAAAGGUGUAAGAAACCAUGCCGGUUUUGACGGUCCCUAAUAAAAAAGCCCCGGCUAACUACGG
rnacentral:rRNA from 1 species